GCUGUAGAUGUGAGCUCUCAACAUCCUGCUUCAGUGGGCAUGCCUGCCAUGUGCUGCCAUUCUGUCUCUGCCAUUGUGGACCUAACCCUUAUAGUAUGAGCUGAGCAAUGUACAGUGCAUUGCUUCCUGUCCCUGCACUUUGACUGCUUCUUUUUCUUCUUGGGAUGCAAAUCACUUGACCAGCUUUUCCCUCCAGUAUUACUUCGGUGACAUACUGCAGCCCUCUGGCUAUGAAGACAGUGCCUCUUAAAAACUGAGUCAUAUUUUAACUGGCUGAAUUGGAUAGUUUGUUUGGAAUGUAUUUUGUGCCAUGCACUGUUUCUUUAAUGUUUUGUAAGUAAUAUAUUAUAAUGGUACUUGUAAUUCUUCACUCAUGCUACUUUUG